GGUUGAGACAGAGGGUUGCUAGUGCCAGGUGUCGCGGUCAUAACAUUAUGACGUCCACAGCUUUUCUCUGACCAAUAAUUACUCGCGACUUGGAAUAUUCAUCAUGGAUGUUAGUGAGGUCAUCAAGAAAGCAAAACGUGGGUUGGAUGGUUACAUAUCCCGAUGGUGUUCUCAAAUGGUGAUGUUUGGACGAUACAUCUUGCUUCGAAAACGAUACCGUAAAGCACUGCUAGUGGUUCUGGUCCUUCUGGUAAUCCUACUUUACUCAGGACCAUCAAUAUUUAGACUAGUUCUUCACACAAGACCAUCUCUUGCAGAUUCCGCCAGUAGAAGUCUUUCUUUACGUCUGGGCCGGUUUUGGCCGGCAUCUGAGGAGCAUGAUGCCCAUAUCCUUCAUGCUCCAGCAUUGCCUGGAGAACAGUCGUACCUUCCAUAUGUUGGUAAUGGUUACAUUGCUCUCACUAUGGAUCAAGAAAGCCCAGUUUACAUUAGAAAUGGAAGGACACUCUCGUUACCUAUCAAUUUCCGCCCUGUCACACUUGUCUCUUUGGAUGGUAUGGCAGUCAAGGAAGCUAUUGUGACAGACUAUACCUCAGGCAUAGUUCAUCGCAUUCAGUCCUGGGACCAGCCAGGCAUUGGGCCCUUGGAUGUAACAUACCAGACUUAUGCACAUCGAUCGAUGCCAUCCCUGCUUUUUCAAGAUAUCAAGGUUAUAAAUCCAACUGAUCAAGAUGCGAUUGUGGAUGUAGAGCAAAUGGGGCUGGGAGACUGGCCCAUGGCAACUACUGAAAUGAUUAAAUUACAACAUGGUGAAGGAGAACAUGAAUACAUUGUUGUGUCAGGAAGUGUCGACCUUCCGAACUCUAAAGUCAUUCCUGUUUCAAUAGUGACACUUAAAGUUCCAUCCAGCUUGCAGGUAUUAUCAAAGAGGUCAGUAGCAUUACACAUUGUAACAGCUAUAAACUACACUGAACCCAUCCUGAAGAAGGCUUAUGCAGGUGCAAAGGAGGUUGCUACCCAAGGGGCACUUGCAGCAUUAAAGAGAGCAGUCACAGGGAGUAUCAAGAACCUUCGUAACGACCACUCAAAAGUCUGGAAAGAGCUAUGGUCCUCUGGAUUUGGUAUUAGUCAUUCAAAAGCUGAGAAUGCAUUGAAUGGUGACCUGAUCAAUGCCACCCUCUACCACGUUUUGUCUCAGGCUCAAGCUCCACUGUAUGAGGUAUUGACUACUGAAGAGCAGAGAGCUUCUAUUCUACGUGAUAUUGCAUAUGCUGAAGGUUGCUAUGGUGGCCAUCAGACUCUUCAGGCUGAACGACUGUGGUCGCCACUUGACACUGUCCAGGAUGUCAAUAGAGUGGUUGGAUACUGGAUACUCACUCUAGAAAAACAGGGUUGCCAUCAGUUGGUUCGUGCUGGUGCCAAUGGCAUUAUGCAGGCAAUGCUACUUAGCUUUGGGGGCAUGCGCUUCAAAAAUCAGCACCUUGAAUUUAACACUCAUCCAAAGGACCUUCACAGAGAUUACUACUUCAGGAGAUUGAGCUAUGGGAAUGCAACUCACUUAAACAUCUCUGUAAUGGUCCAGGAGGAGGAUUACAAAGCUGUCAUCUACACUGCCUUAGACAGGUCUGACAAAAACUAUUAUGCCUGUGAUGCUGGCUGUCUGGACCCUCCAGUUGAACUGAAACAAGCUAAGCAAGCAUUUCCUGUCAAGUUAACAGAGCCUGUGACUGCAAUAUUAUAUAUCACCUCUGACAAGGUCCACAUGGAAGAGCUCAAACAUACCAUACAUGUCAAGGAAAUAGCAUUGGCGCCAGCCCAUGAGCACCAUGUAAUAGCCAUGCACAAACACGGCCACAAGUGGGGAGGACUUCCAACCGUAUUCUGGUUAACUAUUAUUGCACUUAUUGUGAUAUUCCACCUCUUUCUUAUCAAACUGGUUAUUAAUGAAUACUGUGGGGGAGAUGUCAGGGUCAGAUACAGAUAGUAAAUGGCUGAGAGGAAGUGACUGUAGUAAAGAGCCUCUUGAGGUGCCUAGUGAUGGAGUAAGAUGGAAGAGACUUCAGUGAUGGAGUGAUGGGGUGGAGAGUGUCCAGUGAUGGAGCAAUAUGGAGGAGACUGCCCAAUGAUGGAGUAUUAUGGUGGAGUGUGUCCAGUGAUAGAGCAGUAUGGAGGAGACUGCCCAGUGAUGGAGUAAUAUAGAGGAAACUAUGGAAGAAGACGGAGGAGAUUGUUGAGUGAUGGAGUUACAUGGGGUACACUGCAGGGAACAAUUCCUGAUAGUGGAGAAAACUCUCUGACUUUUAGCAGUAUUGGGAGCUGGACAAAUUAUUAUAUGAAACCAGCAAUAUAGUGCACAAGUGCUUUUAUCCUUGGAGUCUAGCCCGUGAAAUUGUGAGUGAGAUGCUGCGGAUGUAUAUUUGAACGUUCAUGCAGCCUAACCAAGAACUCCUCUGUUAUUAUUAACUUUGAUUUACCAGGUGUAGCACUGUAAAACUUUUAUUAAAUUAUGCUACUCUACAUAUUGAGAUAUCAGUACUGUGUUAAUACACUUGACUUGUUUUAUACAUGUUUACACUGUGAAAUAAUUAUGCAAAAAGUUAAUACAGUUUGUAUGGACAAUGUGUUUUAUUUUAUAUUCUGGAUUAUGUAAGUAGUAAACAAAGAAUUGUGAAGAUACAGGAUCAAGUCAAUUUGUUUUAGUCAUUUUAUCUAUCAGUCUUUUUAUUUACUCGAUAAAACAUGUACACAAAGCCUCAUCGGAAAUGUGAAGAAAACAACAAACUAAUUUUUAAAGUAAAUUUACAAAUAUAGUCGAGUGUAAGAGUGACAGCCAGGGAUAAGAGCAAUACUUCAGUGUCUCACUUCAUUCAGAGAGUUGAUUUGCAAAUGGGGCUUUUAUCUUCAGUCUUUGUUUAAAGUCCAUUUUUAUUAUGUACAGCCUCUAGUCAUUAAGUUUUUGACAGCUGUUGAAGUACUCAUUGACAUCUAUGGAUUUACUUUUUUUUUCUAUACUACAUAAUUUGCAUGGCAUGUCCUUGUCCACCAUGCUUCUCUGGUGCUAUCAUCAAACUUUUUUUUUCAUUCAUCUUUAUUCAGUGUACAUUGUUAUUAUACCAUCACUAGUUUUUUUUUCUCUCUCACCAUCCUCUCCCUCUUGAUCUAUAAGACACCUCUUCCAGUAUACCAUCUCAUCAUAUCAUUAUAUAACUGGUUUGAAAGACAAAAAACAUGUUAAGAUGUGUGGUAGAACAGACACUUACAGCAGAGCAUAAAUUUAUUUGCACAUUGUUUUCCCCCCACAGGUAAUUUUUUUCACAUAUUGUAAAGUGUUGCUGUGUGGGUGAUGAUUUCAGAUUGUGACAAGAUGGUGAAGAGAGGGAGAGAUGCAGUAUUAUGGAAUCCCUUAUUGGCUACAUUUUUACCCAUGCUGUGGGUUUUAUUAAGUCACAAACUUGGUAAAUCCACUUUAUAGACAAAACAUUGUCAGUAAAGAAUUUCAUUAUACUGCAUGUGUCUUUGUUCUACCAUGCUAUAUACUAGAUAAUUAAUCCACACUACAGACUUCUGCUUUUCAUUAUUGUUCUCGGUUCUUUGAUUCAUAUUUUUAUUUGCUGCUGCUAUUACUAUACAGUGUGAAUCAACAUUGACACAGCAGAACUACUGCAAGUACAUAAAUAUGGGGUUUGGUAUUAUAAAUUUGUUGAUUCUUAAACAACAUAUGAUGUAUUAUUGUAUUUAUAUAAUUCAUGUACAGAUUGCCAGGCUCACAGGCAUCUUAUAUCCACUCAAAAACCCACAUUUUGGAAAUAGAAACAAAACAGUUUUGUGUCUUGUCUAUUUUCUAAAGGGUGGACAUUCAAUGUGUUUACCAGUAUGACAUUACCUUUUUUAUCUUUAUCUUAUUAUAUAUGUAAAUACUGGUGAGCACCACCUCAUGAGACGUGUGCCUCUUGACAUGCUCAGUAUUGCACUCAGCAUUUGCAACUAUUGCAAUAAUUUUUGAGAGAGAAACAUGAAUCCUCCAGGGUGAAUAUUUUGUAGUAAUUUUAUUCAUAAAUAUUUUAAAUAGGUCCUCCAUGUGCUGGAAAAGUAAUUCACUAGUUUUGGUCUUUGUAUUAAUUUGUCUGAUAUAAUUAAGGAAACUUUAAAAUGUGUAGCAAAUUACCCUAACAGUUCUGCUAUCCUAAUAUUGACAUUUUACCUAGUGAAUUACUUUGUACAUCAUAGGGAACUUUUAUGUUCUAAAUGUUAGACCAAGUGUGUUUCACACCAAGUUGUCGAAGUUUAUUCUCCCAAACACAUAUUACUGAAAAAUGUCUUUAACUCAUGUUUAGUUAAAAAUAACCAUUGUAUUUUAUUCCUCAUUGUUUUUGUUCAUUUUUUUUAAUUGAAAUGUAUUUAGCAAAUAACAUAGAAAAUGUAUUAGGCCAAAAAAGUGAGCUUUUUUUAGUGCAAGCAAUAGAACAUGUACAAAUUGUGCAUAUACUGUACAACCACUGGAUAUAUUUGAAAGUAAACAUGAGAUAAAGAUUUAACAGUCGAAGAUGCCACACAAUUAACUUAGCUCUGUUCUUGUUGCUACAAUAACUAAAAACUGAUUUUAGAAGACAAUCUUGUUAUGGUGGAGGGAGAUUAGCCACUAAUGGCAGUUGGCAAGUUUUUUUUUUUUUUUUUUUUUAAUGCACUGGCCAUCUCUCAGUAAGGCAAGGUAACCUCAAGAAAAACAAAAGUUUUUCUUUUUACGUUUAAUAAUUUAUACUGGAGGAGGGGUUGCUAGCUGCUUGCAAUAGUGUCAUCACACUCAAAUGUCUCUUCCAGUACUGUUGUACAGUACCAGUGUGCAAUGGAAUCCUAUUAAGUAUUUGGCACUUGCAGGAUUGCUGGUCUCUUCUUUCUGUCUUGUGAAUGUGUGAAGGCCAGGUUAAUUUUAUAACCUUCUACUUAUAGUCAGUAAACACUUUACUGUGUUUCUUAUUUCUGUAAUAUUUCCUUUUGAUUUUAUAGGUCUAGUUUGAGAUUCCCAGAGCCAUUAACAAAUAUAUCAAAUCACCAGGACUCAGGCAUGGUGUACCAGUACUGUGUAAUUAUACCAAUAGCUAUGACACACAUCAGCUUAAGCUGAGGUGCACCUGCUUCGGUUAAUGGACAUAUUUUGUGUUAAUGUUUUAUAAGUAUUCUAGUUGUUAAUGAUUCUGGGAUUAUUGUCCUCUGCGACCCAUUAUCAAACCAGGCCUUCUAAUGUGGACAAAAUUUAUAAGGUUAAGAGCUAUGAAGAGGUAGGAGUCCUUAAUUGCUUUCAUUUGAUGUAAUUGGAUGUCUUUGAUUAACAAAAGUUAACAUGUAAGAAAUCCUAUUGUUACUGAUCUCCUUAACUAUGGAAAAUAAUAUACUAUAUAAUUUUUUCUUGACAAAUCCUGUGUGUACAUGAAAUUAAGAGUUAGUCUAUAUAAUUUUAUUUUUAUUAAAUAGUGAAGAUUGAGUGAAGUACGUAGGUGCAAAAAGCUUUUAGUACGUUAUCCAUGCAGAAAGAUUAAGGGCUGCUUAGAAGAUUUAUUGAAGUCAGUGAUUUAAGAGUACCCUAAGUUGUAGGGAGCGCUAUAUUACCUAACAAGUUUGUUGCCUGCUGAAUGUGAUUCGGGCAGUAAAAAGAUGUAAAUAUCAUCUCUAAUUAUUUAUUGACUAAUUUGUGGUAUGUUGAGCUUGUAAUAUAAUUUGAAUGUUGUCAUAAUAAGUUUAUUUUUGUGUAAAGGUUCAGAAAAUAUUGAUAGAUGACUAUGAUUUUUGUGUGUUAGAAGAGUGACCAAGUGUAUUUAUUUUUCUUAAUACUAUACUGGAUUGCUUUAUUGAAUUUAUCAAUUUCAUAUAUGACAUACUGUAUUUAAUCAGGUAAUUCUCAUUUUGCUUGUAGGAGCAUACAAUGAUUACUAUACAAUGACUAAGAAUAAUUCUACAUGAUGGUGACAAUCUUGCAUUAUGAGGUUUAUACAUCACAGCCUUACAAUAUUCAAUAAGCAUUUUUUUAAGGGACAAGAUUUAUUUUUUCUGUGCAAGUUUUUAAAUUUGUGGGUUUUAACAUUAUAUUUAAUUGUCAGAACAGUGCAUACAUGUCAUACUUUUUAUGCAGAGUCUGCCCAAUAGACCUCUCUCAAAAAUACUUUAAAUAAAUAUUUGUUUAUAUAUUGCUAUGUAAUGUUUUAAUUAAUACUUUAUACAUAAUUUUUAAUUGUGCUGCAUCUGCACUUUUGGCAAGACAGCUAUUGAAUGAAUGAUGUGAAUGUAUUUUCUUUUUUGGAUCACUGUAUCAUGGUGGGAAAUAGAGAGUGUGGUUAAAAAAAAUUUUUUAAGCUAGAUCAAUCCUAGUCUAUUUUAGGUCUUUCUAAAUUCAUUUAGCAUUUUAUUUUUUAUAACAACAGCUAUCCCCUGCCAAGGCAGGGUGACCCAAAGAAGAACACACAUUCACCAAGAUUCAUUUAAUUGCUUUCUUAACAGAAGUAUGUCGACAUCACAGUCAGAUAUCCUCCGACUGCAACAUUUCUAGCCCUCAUUCAGAGUGCAGGUACUGCCUUUCCUACCUCCAGGACCCAACUUUCACUAACCGGUUACCCUGCUCACGCUCCAACAGCAUGUCCAUUAAAAGCCACUUGUUUCCACGCACUCCUAACACGCUUACACAAGCCUGCUGGAUGCUCAAGCCCCUAAAACUCAAACCCUCUCGUACCCUCCGUCCAACCAUUCCUAGGACAACCCCUUUACCCACUACUUGCCACCGACCUUUUGGGUGUAGUGCUUAGUUAUGAUUAUAAUGAUGAUAAUCUACCUGCCACUCCAGAUAUAUACACCCUCUUUUGUCAAUCUAUCCCUGCCCAGCCUCUCUUCAUGCCCAAACCUCCUUCACCCCAUCCCAGCUAAUAUUAUUAACAUCAGUUACAUAACCAUUGAAUAACCGUUUUCUCAUGGUUAUUCAGUGGUGACUUUACAUUCACCUUGUUUGGUAAAACAAUUGUUAUUUAAAAGUCAAGAUUGUAAACUCUGCUUAAGAAGCAGGAUAUUUAUAUGCUGUAAUGAAUUCACAUUCCUUUGCUUUUUUCUUACAAAUUGUAAGAAAUCUUAUGUUCUUUUAUACAAAGAUUUCACAUUUCUGAUGGGUUUGGCACUUGUUUUCAAAUAUGAUGAUGAUAAUUCACAUUUAUGUUUAGUUUUUAUAUAAUCUUCUGAUUUUGGCCAAAGGUUCAAGUGAUCAUAUUGGUUGCCUUUACCACUGGCUAGCCAAGACUGGGCAUAGAUUGUUGUAGAAAGAACAAGGGAUUAUGGUGGAAAUUUUUCAACUAAAUGAACUAAAGGUAUGUUGAAAGUAAUUUUGUGUUGUGAGAUUGGCAAAUAAGCAGAAUGAGCUGAACAGUGACAUGUUGGAAGCCAACUCAAAAUGGGGGAUCAAAAAUAGAUAUGAUAGGUAUAUCAUCUCAAAUGGAAAUUAAAAGGCAAGAUCAAGAGUGGGAGUUUGCCCCUAGUAAACUGAAACAGCUAAUCACAAACAAGUAUUGUAAUUACAUUAAUAAUGGUUGAAGUUCAGUACAUUUGCACCACAUGUUAAUUCCUGUGGGACAGACGUACCUGUGACUGAUAUUGCCGCACAACCAGACUUGAAGGUCAGGCUUCAUUGUUGAUGGAUUGGUCAACCAGGCUGUUGCUGCUAGCUGCCUGCAGGCCUACAAGGACAGUCAGCCAAGAAAUGUUACACUUGUUCUUAAAUUUUAUGCAAGUUUAUUAUGAGGGUUCAGUUAAUUUUCUUUCUCAUAAAUUAUUUUCCAGCUGGGGGAUUAUUGUAUUGUUACACAAUUCUUAUCACAUCACUCAUUAUAUCUUUUUCAUUAUUUAAAACAAAUCUUCAAAUCUGCAAAACUUCUUUUUUAACCCUUUGACUGUUUUUGACGUAUAAAUACGUCUUACGAGCCAAUGUUUCUGACAUAUAUAUACUCAAUAAUUCUAGCGGCUUCAAAUCAAGCAGGAGAAAGCUGGUAGGCCCACAUGUGAGAGAAUGGGUCUGUGUGGUCAGUGUGCACCACAUAAAAAAAAUCCUGCAGCACACAUUGCGUAAUGAGAAAAAAAACUGAUCUUUUUUUUUGGAAUAAAACGCCGACUUUGAGAUGUAUUUUCGUAUAGUAUUUAUCGUUGUAUUCGCGUUUUCAUGGUCUUAGGUGAUAAAAUGGAAAACAUAUUACAGAAAUAGAAAUGAUUUUCAUUACUUUGAUGAUGAAAACGACCUUGAAACUGAGCUCAAAGUAGCGGAAAUGUUCGAUUUUUACCUAUGUUCAGGAGUAAAUAAAUCACACCACACGUCCAAUACACGUCAACUGGGGAGUCUAAUAUUCUUUCACUAGUGCACUGAUAUUAUUUAUACCAUUUUUACAAUAAUGCAGUAGUCUGCAUAACAGUAAAUUUUGUAUUUUUUUGUAUGAAUAAAAAAUCAAAAUAGAAAGCAAUAAUAAUAUAAGAGGGGCCUAGAGAUGUGACUAAUGAACAGAGCAUAUGUUAUUUUAGUGCCACGAAUGUCUACCUUGUUUAUUCUGGACCCUAUUUUGAAAUUGGCAUCUUUUUUAGUUUGCGUGAAAUUGGCCAAAUUGCCAAUUUCUGACCACCAUAUUGGGUAGUCCAAAUUAGUAAAUGGGAGGUUUCUUGUACUCAGCUGAUAAAUAAAAUGGAGUUCUAAAGAAAUAGCUAUGAGUUUGGUCAACUGGAACAAUGGAAUUGGCUGAAAAUAGGGCUCAAAUCGGCAAAAUCGCCAAUACGCAUAUGUCGCCGAGACCGCUAACUUCGCGGGAGCAUAAUUCCAUGAGUUUUCGACCAAAUUUCGAACUUUUGGUGUCAUUACCAUCGGGAAAAGAUUCUCUAUCAUUUCAUAAGAAAAAAUAUUUUUUUUUUUUUUUUUUUCAAAAAUUGAGCGACAUAGAAUGACAGUUUCAGAAAGGGGCCUGAAACAGUCAAAGGGUUAAAUGAAACUCACACUAUAACAAUAUUCAACUUAAUGUACACUUAUUUUUGCUUUCCUGUGUAUUUCUUUGUAUUUCUUAUUCUUGUAAUACAGUGGACCCCCGACUAACGAUAUUAUUUCAAUCCAAAAGUCUUUUCUGGUGCCGUUAUAGACCGAAUUUGUUCCCAUAAGGAAUAUUGUGAAUUAGAUUAGUCCGUUUCAGACCCCCAAAAAUACACCUACAAAAGCACUUACAAAAAUACACUUACAUAAUUGGUCGAGUUGGGAGCUCAUCGUUAGUCGGGGGUCCACUGUAUUUGUAUUGAACAUUGAGGUCUGGUCUGAGAGUGGGCUGUGUGGGUGAUAGCUCAGUAACUAUUACCAGUUAUUACUUGAGUGUUAUCACAAUAUCAGUCGUGUAAUGUGAAGAUAGGUGUACGGGACUGAAAGUUUAAGAAACACAGGUUUGCAUGUGCCUUGUGUUAUUUUAUAUGUUGAGAACUUGUGUGAAAUUCUUUGGUUAAUUUAUAACAUUUAUCUUUUAGUUGAUAGAAAUGUGUUUAAGUUGAUAUGUUAAAAAGAGAAUUACAGUAAUUGAUGUAGAGGACGAGUCAUUAAACAGGUGAUGUACGGCCAAUAUUGGGUUAGUGCUUCUCUUGUGAAUAUAAUAAUAAUAAUAAUUAAACAUGAAGGGAUGUUUCAUGUGGGAUCACUUCAUCAUUCUGCCAGCCCAUCUUCAUAUAUUUUGUGUGCCUUCAUUCCAUUGUACAUUUCAUUUGUAAAUAUAAUUAAAAUUGUGAACAUAA